rnacentral:rRNA from 1 species
AUUGGGUUUAAAGGGUGCGUAGGCGGCACAGUAAGUUAGAGGUGAAAUCCGGUGGCUUAACCACCGAACUGCCUCUGAUACUGCUGAGCUAGAGAGUAGAUGCGGCAGGCGGAAUGUGUGGUGUAGCGGUGAAAUGCUUAGAGAUCACACAGAACACCGAUUGCGAAGGCAGCUUGCCAAUCUAUAUCUGACGUUGAGGCACGAAAGCGUGGGUAGCAAACAGGAUUAGAUACCCUGGUAGUCCACGCAGUAAACGAUGAUAGCUCGUUGUCGGCGAUAUACAGUCGGUGACUUAGCGAAAGCGUUAAGCUAUCCACCUGGGGAGUACGUUCGCAAGAAUGAAACUCAAAGGAAUUGACGGGGGCCCGCACAAGCGGAGGAACAUGUGGUUUAAUUCGAUGAUACGCGAGGAACCUUACCCGGGCUUGAAAGUUAGUGACGGACUUGGAAACAGGUCUUCCCUUCGGGGCACGAAACUAGGUGCUGCAUGGUUGUCGUCAGCUCGUGCCGUGAGGUGUCGGAUUAAGUUCCAUAACGAGCGCAACCC